UACAGAGACUGCAAGCGUUAUUCGGAUUCACUGGGCGUAAAGGGUGCGCAGGCGGCCAAGUGUGUGAGGCGUGAAAGCCCGGGGCUUAACCCCGGAAUUGCACCUCAAACUACAUGGCUAGAGCAUUGGAGAGGGUAGCGGAAUUCACGGUGUAGCAGUGAAAUGCGUAGAUAUCGUGAGGAACACCGGUGGCGAAGGCGGCAUCCUGGACCGACACUGACGCUGAUGAGCGAAAGCCAGGGGAGCAAACGGG
rnacentral:rRNA from 1 species